UUUUACUCUAUGACAUGCUCGAAAUUAUUCCUUAAUUGUGCGCUAACCUCACUUCUUGAUAACGUUUUAUGGAUCACUGCCCAGGUACGCAUCCACACCCGCUCGGGUCAUUUUCUGUACGCAUGUUUAGAUUCCCACAUGUGCAUGAUCACUCUGAGUAUUCAUUGAUUCCCUCAUCAAUUGCCAUUGAUUGCUUCAUUUUAUUAGUAGAGACCCGACUUUAGGGAUUUAGAGGGGUGCUACGGUCUUUACUGUACCUUCCCGAUAAGUAACCUGACCCCCGAACCCGAUCCGGUUUUUCGUAGACCCACCUUUUCCAAAAUAAGGAGUCACACUUAGGGUUUUUCUUUCUUAUUUUGUUUACCCUUUUAAAAAUAAAACAAAAAUAAGUGGCGACUCCAAGUCAAUUUUCUUAAUCAAAUAAAAAUAAAUUUUUCGAAUAAAAAUCGAG
rnacentral:lncRNA from 1 species